GAUGAACGCUGGCGGCGUGCCUAAUACAUGCAAGUCGAGCGAACAGAUGAGGAGCUUGCUCCUCUGACGUUAGCGGCGGACGGGUGAGUAACACGUGGAUAACCUACCUAUAAGACUGGGAUAACUUCGGGAAACCGGAGCUAAUACCGGAUAAUAUAUUGAACCGCAUGGUUCAAUAGUGAAAGACGGUUUUGCUGUCACUUAUAGAUGGAUCCGCGCCGCAUUAGCUAGUUGGCAAGGUAACGGCUUACCAAGGCAACGAUGCGUAGCCGACCUGAGAGGGUGAUCGGCCACACUGGAACUGAGACACGGUCCAGACUCCUACGGGGGGCAGCAGUAGGGAAUCUUCCGCAAUGGGCGAAAGCCUGACGGAGCAACGCCGCGUGAGUGAUGAAGGUCUUCGGAUCGUAAAACUCUGUUAUUAGGGAAGAACAAAUGUGUAAGUAACUAUGCACGUCUUGACGGUACCUAAUCAGAAAGCCACGGCUAACUACGUG
rnacentral:rRNA from 1 species